rnacentral:rRNA from 1 species
CCUACGGGAGGCAGCAGUGGGGAAUAUUGGGCAAUGGGCGCAAGCCUGACCCAGCAACGCCGCGUGAAGGAAGAAGGCUUUCGGGUUGUAAACUUCUUUUGACAGGGAAGAGCAGAAGACGGUACCUGUCGAAUAAGCCACGGCUAACUACGUGCCAGCAGCCGCGGUGAUACGUAGGUGGCAAGCGUUGUCCGGAUUUAGGGGGGGUAAAGGGCGUGUAGCCGGGCUGACAAGUCAGAUGUGAAAUCCGGGGGCUCAACCCCCGAACUGCAUUUGAAACUGUUGGUCUUGAGUAUCGGAGAGGCAGGCGGAAUUCCUAGUGUAGCGGUGAAAUGCGUAGAUAUUAGGAGGAACACCAGUGGCGAAGGCGGCCUGCUGGACGACAACUGACGGUGAGGCGCGAAAGCGUGGGGAGCAAACAGGAUUAGAUACCUUUGUAGUC